AUCUCUGCUUGAUUUUUAGCUUCCCUGCCACUGUUUCUGCUAGGUUUCUUGGUGUCUUGCCCUAAAUAAAUGCAGCGUUUGAGAUGGCCAACAACUGGAAUGCAUCUCUGUCUCCUUAGCCUAAGGGGAAUACCAUUCUGUGUUUGAGCUCUCUCCCUCAUUUGGAAAUUACCCUCUUGGGAAAAACUAGAUUUACCAUGCACCUGCUAAGAGUUCGAGUUCAGCGAAGAGUUGGCACCGACUACAGAAGACACUCGAUAAAUGUUCCUACUUUGAACAAACCAAAUUCAACUUUUCCUUCUUGUGACAUGGUGAUUAAGAGCUGCCAGUUUGAGGACAUCAUAGAAAAAAUGAGAAGUGAAGUCAUUUGCUGUUAUCAAUGUGUCAUGGCAGUAGGAGAAAUAUUUUAUCAACAGAGAAAAUAAAUACCAACACCUCCUCUUGAAGAAGGGCCAAAAUCCAUACAGCUUCACGUGCUCACACAGUUCAACUGCCACGCUUGUGAUCAUCAAGCCAGAGGACAGGCGAAACUCUGUUACUCCCUCGGUUCUCCAGAAAAGGGCAAGAUUUCUCAGGUUCUCCUAAAGCCUCAUUCAUUCUCUGAAGUUUCUAAAUAAACUGUUUCAUCAAGAAACUGCUCCCAAGAUAAAAGAGUAAUGCUAACAUUCUGAAAGAAAGUUCUCAAAAGUAACUUCACUAUUGUUAAAAAAGAUGAAGAGAUAAAUGAGUUUUCACUUGAUUAGUAAUAUUCAGCUUAUGACAUUGGAAGUGCAAUUGGUUGGGUAGCCCAGCUGGUUCAGAGGUAGAAUGUACAACUCUUGAUUUCAGGGUUUUAAAGUUUGAGCCUCACAUUAGGUGUAGAGUUUACUUUAAAAAAUAAA